rnacentral:sRNA from 1 species
CUCGUAGGCCUGCUGCGGGCAGAUGAAGUGCACGUGCGUGUCGACGCCGCCGGCGGUGAGGAUCAAGCCCUCGCCCGCGAUGGCCUCCGUGGUCACGCCGAUCAGCAUGCGCGAGUAGACGCCGCCCAUCACGUCCGGGUUGCCGGCCUUGCCGAUGCCGACGAUGCGCCCGUUCUUGAUGCCGAUGUCGGCCUUGUAGAUGCCGGACCAAUCGACCACGAGCGCGUUGGUGAUGACCACGUCGAGCGCGCGGCUGUCGUCGAGCCCGCCCAUCUGGCCCAUGCGAUCGCGGAG